rnacentral:rRNA from 1 species
UGGGGAAUUUUGGACAAUGGGGGAAACCCUGAUCCAGCCAUCCCGCGUGUGCGAUGAAGGCCUUCGGGUUGUAAAGCACUUUUGGCAGGAAAGAAACGUCAUGGGUUAAUACCCCGUGAAACUGACGGUACCUGCAGAAUAAGCACCGGCUAACUACGUGCCAGCAGCCGCGGUAAUACGUAGGGUGCAAGCGUUAAUCGGAAUUACUGGGCGUAAAGCGUGCGCAGGCGGUUCGGAAAGAAAGAUGUGAAAUCCCAGAGCUCAACUUUGGAACUGCAUUUUUAACUACCGGGCUAGAGUGUGUCAGAGGGAGGUGGAAUUCCGCGUGUAGCAGUGACAUGCGUAGAUAUGCGGAGGAACACCGAUGGCGAAGGCAGCCUCCUGGGAUAACACUGACGCUCAUGCACGAAAGCGUGGGGAGCAAACAGG